rnacentral:rRNA from 1 species
GGAGGAUCCAAGCGUUAUCCGGAAUCAUUGGGUUUAAAGGGUCCGUAGGCGGUCUUAUAAGUCAGUGGUGAAAUCUCCCCGCUCAACGGGGAAACUGCCAUUGAUACUGUAGGACUUGAAUUAUUAGGAAGUAACUAGAAUAUGUAGUGUAGCGGUGAAAUGCUUAGAGAUUACAUGGAAUACCAAUUGCGAAGGCAGGUUACUACUAAUUGAUUGACGCUGAUGGACGAAAGCGUGGGUAGCGAACAGGAUUAGAUACCCUGGUAGUUCACGCCGUAAACGAUGGAUACUAGCUGUUGGGGGCAACUUCAGUGGCUAAGCGAAAGUGAUAAGUAUCCCACCUGGGGAGUACGUUCGCAAGAAUG